UACAGAGGUCUCAAGCGUUGUUCGGAUUCAUUGGGCGUAAAGGGUGCGUAGGCGGCGCGGUAAGUCGGGUGUGAAAUCUUGGAGCUUAACUCCGAAACUGCAUUCGAUACUGCCGUGCUUGAGGACUGGAGAGGAGACUGGAAUUUACGGUGUAGCGGUGAAAUGCGUAGAUAUCGUAAGGAAGACCAGUGGCGAAGGCGGGUCUCUGGACAGUUCCUGCCGCUGAAGCACGAAGGCCAGGGGAGCAAACGGG
rnacentral:rRNA from 1 species